UCACAUGACCCCCCUGCUGGGUCACAUGACCCCCCUGCUGGGUCACAUGACCUCCCUGUGAUUUGUUAGCAGUGCUGUUUUCAUUGUGUAUUCUGUCGCUCCACCAGGGGGCGCCGUGCUCUUCUUCGUGUCCCACAUGGGCCAGCUGAGGGAAGUGGCGUUCAACCCCAUCGUGUUUGACCAGGUGGCGGUGAACCAAGGCUCCGCCUACGACGCCCACACCGGCGUGUUCACGGCGCCGCUGGCCGGCGUCUACCAGUUCCUGUUCAGCUCCCAGCUCUGCCGCGGGAACCACAACAACCGGGCCUACAUCCUGGUCAACGGCCAGCAGAGGGUGCUCUGCCACGGACAGGUGAGGAACGCCGACACGACCCUGGUCACCUGUUACUACAUGGAGGAGCUGCAGAAGGGCGACCGAGUCUGGGUGCGGCAGGACGAGGGCGGCUGCUCCUGGGCCAGCACCGUCUCCAGGACCAUCAGCUUCUCCGGGGUCCUGCUGGCCGUGGAGGGCCGCCCCGCGCUGGGGGGGAGGCUCGGCCCCUCCUGCCCGCUGCUCGGCCCGGGCCGGGGCAUCAGCACCGGGUCGUCCGCCUCCUCAGGACGGACGGGACGGUCCAGCCUGACCCUCCCCCUGCUGCUGUCCGGCCUGCUGCUGGCUCACUGAGCGCCUUGCUCAUAUUUUUAAUUUUGUUUUUUUAAACCUUUAUUUCACCUGGCAGGUCAACAAAGAACAAACUCCUGUGUGCAGUGAAGACUUUGGGAGGAAAGGCCUCGUGACGAGGGGAGGGAGGAGAAAAACAGCCCGAACAGAAGGGGUCAUAUUCCAAGAACAAAACCCAGAAGUUCAGAGAUUAGUACAUUUACAAGAAAAACACUCACAAAUUUCUGAGAAAAAAACUGGGAAAACUAGUUUUUCUUCCCCUUUUUUCCUCUGAAUCGGCCCAAGUCACAGCAACGUCUCUUCAGAGUCCAGAUGCUGAGGAGGAGGUUGGGGUUCUGGACUCAGACCAGCAGGAUUUCCUUCAGACUGGAUCCCACAGGAGGAGGACAGACUGGUUUGCAAGAAGUUUAAUCGUAAAUUUACGACUUUAAACUCGGAAAUCCUAAGUUGUAUUUUUUUCUUUUUCUCAGAAUAUUUCCCCCUCCUCCCCUGGCUCAGGAUGUUUGGCCCUAAUCUGCCGUCAGAAAAAUCUCACUCUGACAUUAAAACUCUGCCUAAAUUAGAGUUCAAAUAAAAUCAUUUGAAGUUGAUUGGAUUUUGUUGUUUCUGUGCUCCACUUUAGUUUGGAUGAUGUUUACAUGUUUUUUUCCUCAGCGCCAACGUCAGCAACUUCAUGUUACAUUCAGCUCAUUUUUAUAUGUAGUUACAGGAAAACUUUACUGAUCCCUGAGGUCAGCUGAAGUUCAGAUUCUCAAGAGAAGAAUUAAAUUAAAUUGAAGAAUUAAAUAAUAAGAAAUAGAAACAGAAAUAACAAAUAGAACAAUAUGUGUGAUAGACAUUUGUAAAAAAAAAAAAAUAAUAAAU
rnacentral:lncRNA from 1 species